rnacentral:rRNA from 1 species
CCCUUAGAUGUCCUGGGCCGCACGCGCGUUACACUGAUGCAUUCAACGAGCUUAUAACCUUGGCCGAGAGGCCUGGGCAAUCUUGUUAACGUGCAUCGUGAUAGGGAUAGAUUAUUGAAAUUAUUAAUCUUGAACGAGGAAUUCCUAGUAAACGCAGAUCAUCAAUCUGCAUUGAUUACGUCCCUGCCCUUUGUACACACCGCCCGUCGCACCUACCGAUUGGAUGGUCCGGUGAAGCCUCGGGAUUGUGGUUCUUGCCGCUUUAUUGUGGCGUGACCGCGAGAACUUGUCUAAACCUUAUUAUCUAGAGGAAGGUGAANUCGUAACA